rnacentral:rRNA from 1 species
GAUUUCUGGCGAACUGUAGCGGCCCGUGCUCGUAUCGGGCGUGUGUGCCGUGACAUGUUUGUCAUCCUUCCAGAGAGCUGCGUCUACCAUUCAUUUGGCCGGACGUACGCGAUCUGGAUCAAUUACUUUGAAAAAAUUAGAGUGUUUAAAGCAGGCUUACGCUAUGAAUACAUUAGCAUGGAAUAAUAAUAUAGGACUUUGAUUCUAUUUUGUUGGUUUCUAGGAUUGAAGUAAUGAUUGAUAGGGAUAGUUGGGGGUGCUAGUAUUCAGCGGCCAGAGGUGAAAUUCUCGGAUUCGCUGAAGACUAACUUAUGCGAAAGCAUU